rnacentral:SRP_RNA from 1 species
AUCACGAUGCAAUGAGAAAGGUGUGAACCAGGUCAGGAUCGGAAGAUAGCAGCCUUAAACAUACGAUUUCAUGUGCAUCAUUUUUUG